CCUACGGGUGUCAGCAGUGAGGAAUAUUGGUCAAUGGACGAGAGUCUGAACCAGCCAAGUAGCGUGAAGGAUGACUGCCCUAUGGGUUGUCAACUUCUUUUAUAUGGGAAUAAAAUGUUCCCCGUGUGGGAUUUUGUCUGUACCAUAUUAAUACGGAUCGGCUAACUCCGUGCCAGCAGCCUCGGUAAUACGGAGGAUCCGAGCUUUAUCCGGAUUUAUUGGGUUUAAAGGGAGCGUAGGUGGAUUGUUAAGUCAGUUGUGAAAGUUUGCGGCUCAACCGUAAAAUUGCAGUUGAAACUGGCAGUCAUGAGUACAGGAGAGGUGGGCGGAAUUCGUGGUGUAGCGGUGAAAUGCUUAGAUAUCACGAAGAACUCCGAUUGCGAAGGCAGCUCACUGGACUGCAACUGACACGGAGGCUCGAAAGUGUGGGUAUCAAACAGGAUUAGAUACCCGGGUAGUC
rnacentral:rRNA from 1 species